AAAAAAGACAAACACUGGUUUCCGUGUCCAACGUUUGACCGUCCGUCUUAUUUAAAAAAAUUAUGAAAAAAAUUAAAAAGACAAGUCACGUAUAAAAUAUUAAUCAUAUUUUAUCAUCCAACAACAAUGAAAAUAUGAAUUAUAAAAAAAUUUCAUAUAAAACGGACAGUCAAAGUUGGACACGAAAACCCAGGGUUUGCCUUUUU
rnacentral:pre_miRNA from 1 species